rnacentral:rRNA from 1 species
GUGGGGAAUAUUCCGCAAUGGACGAAAGUCUGACGGAGCAACGCCGCGUGAGUGAUGAAGGUUUUCGGACUGUAAAGCUCUGUUGUUUAGGACGAAAGUGCCUGUUGCGAACAGUUACAGGUAUUGACGGUACUAAACGAGGAAGCCACGGCUAACUACGUGCCAGCAGCCGCGGUAAUACGUAGGUGGCAAGCGUUGUCCGGAAUUAUUGGGCGGAAAGAGCAUGUAGGCGGAGAUUUAAGUCUGUUGUGAAAAUGCGGGGCUCAACCCCGUAUUGCGAUGGAAACUGAAUUUCUUGAGUGCAGGAGAGGAAAGGGGAAUUCCCAGUGUAGCGGUGAAAUGCGUAGAUAUUGGGAGGAACACCAGUGGCGAAGGCGCCUUUCUGGACUGUGUCUGACGCUGAGAUGCGAAAGCCAGGGUAGCGAACGGGAUUAGAAACCCUGGUAGUCC